CAGGUUCGUAGAAAAGGCAGAGGUGGAAAUUCCAGGCUCAAGCCCCACCUUCUCCAUGCUAUAAAUUUGGACAGAGGCUUCUGGAGUGAGAACCAAAGCAGAAGAGCAGCAAGCAGCCUUGGAUCGAGAACCACAGACACAACCAUGGCCAGAGUCCCAGAUGUGUUGCUGAGAGACAUCAGUGAGGAAGAGAUGGAGAUGGAGUUCUCAUUCGGCAACGAGGUAAGAAACCUUCAACAUUUUGCGGGGUGGGAAGGGAAAACCCCAUUACACAGC